UGGGGAAUAUUGGACAAUGGGCGAAAGCCUGAUCCAGCAAUGCCGCGUGUGUGAAGAAGGCCUUAGGGUUGUAAAGCACUUUCGGUGAGGAAGAAAUACUCAAGGGUAAUAUCCUUGAGGGUUGACGUUACUUACAGAAGAAGCACUGGCUAACUCUGUGCCAGCAGCCGCGGUAAUACAGAGAGUGCAAGCGUUAAUCGGAAUUACUGGGCGUAAAGCGCGCGUAGGUGGAUAAUUAAGUCGGAUGUGAAAGCCCUGGGCUUAACCUAGGAAUUGCAUUCGAUACUGAAUGUCUCGAGUAUGGUAGAGGGAAGUGGAAUUUCCGGUGUAGCGGUGAAAUGCGUAGAUAUCGGAAAGAACACCAGUGGCGAAGGCGGCUUCCUGGACCAAUACUGACACUGAAGUGCGAAAGCGUGGGGAGCAAACAGG
rnacentral:rRNA from 1 species